UCCCAGACUCCUACGGGAGGCAGCAGUGGGGGAUAUUGCACAAUGGGGGAAACCCUGAUGCAGCGACGCCGCGUGGGCGAAGAAGUAUUUCGGUACGUAAAGCCCUAUCAGCAGGAAAGAAAAUGACGGUACCUGACUAAGAAGCCCCGGCUAACUACGUGCCAGCAGCCGCGGUAAUACGUAGGGGGCAAGCGUUAUCCGGAUUUACUGGGUGUAAAGGGAGCGUAGACGGCAGUACAAGUCCGGAGUGAAAGCCCGGGGCCCAACCCCGGGACUGCUCUUGGAACUGCAUGGCUGGAGUACAGGAGGGGCAGGCGGAAUUCCUAGUGUAGCGGUGAAAUGCGUAGAUAUUAGGGGGAACACCGGUGGCGAAGGCGGCCUGCUGGACUGUGACUGACGUUGAGGCCCGAAGGCGUGGGGAGCAAACAGGAUUAGAUACCCUCGUAC
rnacentral:rRNA from 1 species